ACUGAUACGCAGUGACGUAGCCGCAUCUCAUUGGCUCUAUACCCCCAGGCCCUGCGUCAGCAACCAGCGCGCGCAUGCCUGCUAGCAGGGUAGGAUGUACCGCACUGGUGCCCUUCCUGUGGAAGCCUCACUGCCGGGCAGUUACGACAGUCCGCUAGACUUACGUCACGGAGGAGGUUUUGGGCGGGGCUGACAUCACCGUCCGGCCUUUGAGUGCAUGCGUGGCGCGUGCCGUUGGGGAGGGUGGAGUGGACCCCCCCUCGAGGUGGAUCGUGGGCGUUAUCCUGCUAAGGUAACGGCUCUUGCGCUCGCUGACGUCGGGCCUAGGAGGACGGCGUUUUGCCUUCCGGGAUAGAGACGUCUCCUGGCCACUUCCCUUCAGCUGGCGACCUUUACACGCACUUGGUCAGACUUUCACUUCUGGUGCCAGCGGCACCCGGAGAGCGAGCCUGGAGUCAGGCGUUAGGACGGUUGGACACGUGCACCUGACCUUUCUCCCUCCGCCCUGGGACUUAAAGUCACCUUCCAGGGCGGGGACAGGCACCGCGGGCGCGCAGAGGCUGGAUCGGAGUUCUGGCCCCUCACCUGCCCACACCAGUCUCUCUCCCUCGAGGAAGCAGCACUGUCACACGAUGAGCACUUUCUCUGAAAUCUAGGCCGAUUGCACCACCUGUCACCUAGGUGAAGGUCAUGCGCAGGAAGCGAGUGUGGCUGCAGUCAUAUUAGAGCGCUGGCUUGAUCGCCACAGCGUCCGGCUGUGCACUUUCCCUCCAACCAGCUCCCCUGCCAAUGUGCUCAG